GUUUGGAGAGUGAGGUGCAGAGGGACGGGGCUGAUCUGCUUUGAAGAAGACUAUGUCGCCCCAGGUCUAGUGCUUGGUCCGGAUGGUGGAGACAGGAGGCAUCAGAGAAGAGGGGGCCUGGUUAGUAGAGGAUAUAAAGUCCCACCUGGGGACUAACUAACAAUGACUUGAUGGAUCAGUUUUGCAAACACAACUUCCAGAAGAUGCUCUCCUAAAGGUUUUGGACUGUUGAUCGGAAAAAACAAGACGACAAAUGAAAACAUCAUCUUGGGCUCUGGGAGAUUGUUACAGGCCGUGCUGUGGAGGCCUAUAUGUGUGUGUGACUGCCUGGGCUCGACCCCCGCGGUGAGCUGCCACGUUCCAAAGUUACAGAGCUCCUGCAGCGAUUCUGGCGCGACUUCAGAGGAUGACAGGCGACGGUGGGGGAGCUUCAACUGGAGGAUGUGUCCAGAGGUCCCGCCUCCCGCCAUGCCGGGUCCCCAGGUGUGCAUCCUUUCAUGGACAUCAUGUGUUCUUUUUUUUUUUUCAUAUUUUUCUUUUGUGCAUUCUGGGUGAAUUAGCAUGUGAUGCAAGUGCA